rnacentral:rRNA from 1 species
UUCGGUUAAGUUAUGAAGGGCGCACGGUGGAUGCCUUGGCACUAGGAGCCGACGAAGGACGGGACUAACACCGAUAUGCUUUGGGGAGCUGUAAGUGAGCUUUGAUCCAGAGAUUUCCGAAUGGGGGAACCCAUUGUUCGUAAUGGAACAAUAUCCUUACUUGAAUACAUAGAGUAUGGAAGGCAGACCCAGGGAACUGAAACAUCUAAGUACCUGGAGGAAGAGAAAGCAAUUGCGAUUCCCUGAGUAGCGGCGAGCGAAACGGGAURUAGCCCAAACCAAGAGGCUUGCCUCUUGGGGUUGUAGGACACUCUAUACGGAGUUACAAAGGAAUGAAGUAGACGAAGAAGUCUGGAAAGGCUCGUCAAAGAAGGUAACAACCCUGUAGUUGAAACUUCAUUCCCUCUUGAGUGGAUCCUGAGUACGGCGGGACACGUGAAAUCCCGUCGGAAGCUGGGAGGACCAUCUCCCAAGGCUAAAUACUCCCUAGUGACCGAUAGUGAACCAGUACCGUGAGGGAAAGGUGAAAAGCACCCCGGAAGGGGAGUGAAAUAGAACCUGAAACCGUGUGCCUACAAGUAGUCAGAGCCCGUUAACGGGUGAUGGCGUGCCUUUUGUAGAAUGAACCGGCGAGUUACGAUCCCAUGCAAGGUUAAGUCGAUGAGACGGAGCCGCAGCGAAAGCGAGUCUGAAUAGGGCGAAUUGAGUAUGUGGUCGUAGACCCGAAACCAGGUGAUCUACCCAUGUCCAGGAUGAAGUUCAGGUAACACUGAAUGGAGGUCCGAACCCACGCACGUUGAAAAGUGCGGGGAUGAGGUGUGGGUAGCGGAGAAAUUCCAAUCGAACUUGGAGAUAGCUGGUUCUCUCCGAAAUAGCUUUAGGGCUAGCCUCAUGUGUAAGAGUCUUGGAGGUAGAGCACUGUUUGGACUAGGGGCCCUCAUCGGGUUACCGAAUUCAGACAAACUCCGAAUGCCAAAGACUUAUCCAUGGGAGUCAGACUGCGAGUGAUAAGAUCCGUAGUCGAAAGGGAAACAGCCCAGACCACCAGCUAAGGUCCCAAAGUAUACGUUAAGUGGAAAAGGAUGUGGAGUUGCUUAGACAACCAGGAUGUUGGCUUAGAAGCAGCCACCAUUUAAAGAGUGCGUAAUAGCUCACUGGUCGAGUGACUCUGCGCCGAAAAUGUACCGGGGCUAAACGUAUCACCGAAGCUGUGGAUUGACACCKYUAGGUGUCAGUGGUAGGAGAGCGUUCUAAGGACUGCGAAGCUAGACCGUAAGGACUGGUGGAGUGCUUAGAAGUGAGAAUGCCGGUAUGAGUAGCGAAAGAUGGGUGAGAAUCCCAUCCACCGAAUGCCUAAGGUUUCCUGAGGAAGGCUCGUCCGCUCAGGGUUAGUCGGGACCUAAGUCGAGGCCGAUAGGCGUAGACGAUGGAYAACAGGUUGAUAUUCCUGUACCACCUCUUUUCCGUUUGAGCAAUGGGGGGACGCAGGAGGAUAGGGUAAGCGCACUGYUGGAUAUGUGCGUCUAAGCAGUUAGGCUGAUGAUGAGGCAAAUCCCAUCAUCGCAUAAGGCUGAGCUGUGAUAGCGAGCGAAUUAUAGUAGCGAAGUUCCUGAUUCCACACUGCCAAGAAAAGCCUCUAGCGAGGAAAAAGGUGCCCGUACCGCAAACCGACACAGGUAGGCGAGGAGAGAAUCCUAAGGUGAGCGAGAGAACUCUCGUUAAGGAACUCGGCAAAAUGACCCCGUAACUUCGGGAGAAGGGGUGCUCUGGUAGGGUGCAAGCCCGAGAGAGCCGCAGUGAAUAGGCCCAGGCGACUGUUUAGCAAAAACACAGGUCUCUGCGAAGCCGUAAGGCGAAGUAUAGGGGCUGACGCCUGCCCGGUGCUGGAAGGUUAAGAGGAGUGCUUAGCGCAAGCGAAGGUGCGAAUCGAAGCCCCAGUAAACGGCGGCCGUAACUAUAACGGUCCUAAGGUAGCGAAAUUCCUUGUCGGGUAAGUUCCGACCCGCACGAAAGGCGUAACGAUCUGGGCACUGUCUCAACGAGAGACUCGGUGAAAUUAUAGUACCUGUGAAGAUGCAGGUUACCCGCGACAGGACGGAAAGACCCCGUGGAGCUUUACUGUAGCCUGAUAUUGAAUUUUGGUACAGCUUGUACAGGAUAGGUAGGAGCCUUGGAAGCCGGAGCGCCAGCUUCGGUGGAGGCAUCGGUGGGAUACUACCCUGGCUGUAUUGAAAUUCUAACCCGCGCCCCUUAUCGGGGUGGGAGACAGUGUCAGGUGGGCAGUUUGACUGGGGCGGUCGCCUCCUAAAGAGUAACGGAGGCGCCCAAAGGUUCCCUCAGAAUGGUUGGAAAUCAUUCGCAGAGUGUAAAGGCACAAGGGAGCUUGACUGCGAGACCUACAAGUCGAGCAGGGACGAAAGUCGGGCUUAGUGAUCCGGUGGUUCCGCAUGGAAGGGCCAUCGCUCAACGGAUAAAAGCUACCCCGGGGAUAACAGGCUUAUCUCCCCCAAGAGUCCACAUCGACGGGGAGGUUUGGCACCUCGAUGUCGGCUCAUCGCAUCCUGGGGCUGUAGUCGGUCCCAAGGGUUGGGCUGUUCGCCCAUUAAAGCGGUACGCGAGCUGGGUUCAGAACGUCGUGAGACAGUUCGGUCCCUAUCCGUCGUGGGCGCAGGAAAUUUGAGAGGAGCUGUCCUUAGUACGAGAGGACCGGGAUGGACGCACCGCUGGUGUACCAGUUGUCUUGCCAAAGGCAUCGCUGGGUAGCUAUGUGCGGAAGGGAUAAGUGCUGAAAGCAUCUAAGCAUGAAGCCCCCCUCGAGAUGAGAUUUCCCAUCACGUANUCCUGGGGCUGUAGUCGGUCCCAAGGGUUGGGCUGUUCGCCCAUUAAAGCGGUACGCGAGCUGGGUUCAGAACGUCGUGAGACAGUUCGGUCCCUAUCCGUCGUGGGCGCAGGAAAUUUGAGAGGAGCUGUCCUUAGUACGAGAGGACCGGGAUGGACGCACCGCUGGUGUACCAGUUGUCUUGCCAAAGGCAUCGCUGGGUAGCUAUGUGCGGAAGGGAUAAGUGCUGAAAGCAUCUAAGCAUGAAGCCCCCCUCGAGAUGAGAUUUCCCAUCACGUAWGUGAGUAAGAUCCCUAGAAGAUGACUAGGUAGAUAGGUCAGAGAUGGAAGCAUGGCGACAUGUGGAGUUGACUGAUACUAAUCGAUCGAGGACUUAACCACA